UGUUCUUGCGCUACCUCCAUCUGCUUUAUGGAUCUCAUAAAUCCAUUAAGUUUUACCCUUUGUACUUCAGCAGGAUAACAUGUACACGUGCAGGGGUUAAACGUACUUUUUUUUUAAAUCCGUGAGGAGUAUGAAUUGCAGAUGUUUAACAAGUUCCUGGUUUUGUGUGGAUUUAAUGGAAAUAAUGUUAUGGACAGAAGGGAUGUCAGAGUGGAUACUCCAACCAAUUGUGAUGUGCCUUAUUCAAGUUAAGCUUGAGAGGGAAGACUCAUCACACUCGUCUCCUGCUCCAGUGUGGAGUACCUCCCAUGGGAGACAGUCCUCCAUUAACUACUCCAGCGCUGAGUCCUCCUCAUGGCCUGCAGCUCUUCAUUAACUGCUCCAGCAUGGGUGCUUUCCAUGGGGUGCAAUAGUUCAGGAAAAGACCACUCCAGCAUGCAUCCUUCACAGGGUCAGAAGUCCUGCCAGCAAACCUGCUCCAGAAUGGGCUUCUUUCUCCAUGGGGCUGCAGGUCCUGUCAGGAGCCUGCUCUAGGGUGGGCUUCUCACGGGGUCACAGCCUCCUUUGGGCAUCCAGGUGCUCUGGCCUGGGGUCCUCCCUGGAUUGCAGAUGGAUCUCUGCUCCACCUUGGACAUCCAUGGACUGCGACGGGACAGCUGGCCUCAACAUGGUCUGCACCAAGGGCUGCAGAGGAAUCUCUGCUCCAGCACCUAGAACACCUUUUGCCCCUCCUUCUUUAAUGGCCUGGGUGUCUGCAGAGCUGUUUCUCUCACAUAUCCUCACUCCUCCCUCUGGCUGCAGUCGCAAAUUUUUUUUCCCCUUCUUAAAUAAGUUAUCCCAUAGACACUGCCACCAUUGAUGCUGGACUUGUCCUUGGCUAGCAGCAGGUCCAUCUUGGAGACAGCUGGCAUUGGCUGUAUUUGACAUAUGGGAAAUGUCUAUCAGCUUCUGACAGAAGCCACCUCUGUAGACCACCUGCCACCAAAACCUUGCCAUGCAAACUCAGUAUACACAACUAUCAGGUUCUGUCUUUGCCAUACAAACAUUCUUGGGCCAUGACCAUGAGAUACCAGUAAUAGUUACAUUUCUGUAUGUAGUUCUGAUUUCUGAUAUAUUUUGCUCUAUUUCAGCAUAUAUUCAUAACCUAUUAUUUCAGGGCUUGUCCUUUUCUUCCUUAAAUGGCAAUCCUAACAGUUAGGGAGAUUUUUAAUAAUAUUUUUAUUGUGUUGCCUUGAAAGACUUUUAAAAGUCAUGUUCCAAAUUAAAUUUAUGCCAAAGAGAAGACUUACCUUUAAUAUAAAUUUUUAUUUCCUUGCAGGCCAUAUGUUGACUUAAAUCUGUUAUAAUACAAUCAAACUAAAGAUCAAAGAUAAAAUGUGGUGUUCUUUGACAGAAAAGUGAUCCAUUUUUCCCGAACAACUAUUUACAAAUCUGAAAAUGGAGAAUUUAUUGCAUCUUGUUUUAAUUUCAGUUUCCUUUAAUGCUUUUUACCCCCUAAGAUGUGUCUUCAUAUACUAGAAGUCUGUGUAUACUGCAUGCCAUAUAUUUUAGAUACAUCUGGGAAGCACAUUACGCAGUGAAAAUCUGAGCAAAGAAAGUGAACCUAGAGGGGUAGUAGAAGGAAAAGGAUGAAAGCAAAUCAUGUUAGCAUCUUGUUUUGCUUCUGCUCUUUCCACUACUUCCUGUAUGUUUUGUUUAUCAAAUAUUGUGUAGAUCAAUGUAGAAUUUUAGUAUCUUUGAUUUUUACAGUCACUGAUGUUUAAAAUCUUGAUAAUUUGAAAGCUUAUUGUAAAGCUUUCAAUGUCUUGAAGAAAUAAAAAGGACUUGGACCAUCCUCUUGGCUCUGUGUUUGUCCCUUUUCCAAAGCAUAAGAAGUUCUUUGAUACCAUGCACUCUUGAUUUUGUGUUUUUAUUCAUUAUGCCUUUGUUUUAUGCAAUGGCAUUGCCCAAGGUGAUUCCAGAUUUUUUUGGUAUUUUCUAGCCA